rnacentral:rRNA from 1 species
CCUACGGGGCGCAGCAGUGGGGAAUAUUGGGCAAUGGGCGCAAGCCUGACCCAGCAACGCCGCGUGAAGGAAGAAGGCUUUCGGGUUGUAAACUUCUUUUCUCAGGGACGAAGCAAGUGACGGUACCUGAGGAAUAAGCCACGGCUAACUACUUGCCAGCAGCCGCGGUAAUCCGUAGGUGGCAAUCGUUAUCCGGAUUUACUGGGUGUAAAGGGCGUGUAGGCGGGACUGCAAGUCAGAUGUGAAAACCAUGGGCGCAACCUAUGGCCUGCAUUUGAAACUGUAUGUCUUGAGUACUGGAGAGGCAGACGGAAUUCCUAGUGGAGCGGUGAAAUGCGUAGAUAUUAGGAGGAAAACCAGUGGCGAAGGCGGUCUGCUGGACAGCAACUGACGCUGAGGCGCGAAAGCGGGGGGAGCAAACAGGAUUAGAUAACCUAGUAGUC